CCCUCCCAGCCGGGGACUGAAUUGGAGACUGGACGGGGCGCGCAGCCCGAGCGCAGGGAAGCCCGAGCCACUGAAGGACUUGGGCUCCUGGAACCUCACCCCGUCUUGAAGUUGGCAUCCUCAGAUCCCUGCUAGAUGACCAUAUUCCUUCCCAAAGAUAGUUCUCAAAUGGGCCUUUGUUGGUAAAGACACUCCACACAUGGGUACGGCCUUUGUUGGUAAAGACACUCCACACAUGGGUACAGCCUCGAUAAAAUAUUUUACCCCGCAGAGAAAGUAUCUCCAAACAUAAUGUAGUAAGAGAUUUCCCAAAUCCAAGGGCAUUAAAUAUUAAAACUCAGUUUUCUAGUUACACAUUAGCCUUAAAUAUCAAGAAUGUAACACAAAAUUAUCACAGAACGCAGGAAAAGGAGAUGAGAAAGGCCGCAGAUGGGCAGCUAGGUGGGUCAGGGCACAGGGCAGGGUCCGAAAGGGUCCCCAGCACAGGAGCAUCUGUCCCCGUGGAGUGGGGGGCACCACCCUCCUGGCACGUGGAUGUGUGCAGCAACCCGGCACUGCUGCGGACCAGUAGUCCAGGCAUUCUUAUGGAGGCUCCAUCAGAUCAUGGUGGAUGAUGCCUGGAGGAGGGUGGGUGCAGGGUUGAGAGCUGCAGGUGCUAAUCCUGGCUGGUCUCUCUGGUGACCGGCCCCCCUCCAGGAGCCACCAAGCCUCACCUCAUUUGAACAAAAGAAUCUGCUGCCAUCACCCAGGAAAUUCCGAGGGUUUUUGGAGCCCUGUGCUGGGUCUUGGGAGCAGAGACUGGAUCUAUUCAUUUCACAUUUUGUUGCCCCAUCUUGCCAGGUAGAGACGGUGUCUGUGUCUGGGUUCCCAGGCUGGACCCCAGAUGCCUGCUGUAUAUGUGCCCGCUGGCGUUGCCAUCACGGGGCACUCUCUCAGGCGUCUUAAACAGCAGGACAGGAGGCGGGAAGGCCAAGAUGAAGGUGCGGCCGGAGCUGGUUCCUCAGAAGGCACCCCGCGUGGCCGUGAAAGCCAGGAAGAUGGUUGAAUUGUUGUUUAAAACAUCUCGGAAUAUAUACAUGAGCAGAACAGAAGUUAAAGACAGAGUUUCUUCCAGCACAAGCGAGGCCAGCACCUUUCCCGAUGGGACAGCCCCGAACGUGGAGCAUGCCAGCAGCCCGGCAGCCAAGUUCCGGCAGUUUCCAGGACAAUGCCAGAGGGUGGUGUGCACACGCCCCUGAAAAGACGGAAAGGAGAAUAUCCACCGUCAUCCCCAACAGCCCAGCACUCAGCACCCCAGGCUGUCAUCCCCAACAGCCCUACACCCAGCACUCAGGAUCCCAGCACCCCAGCAUCUCAGCAUCCCAGCAUCCCAGCAUCCCAGCCUCCAUGUAUCCCAGCACGCCAGCAUCCCACCACCCCCGGCACCCCCAGCAUCCCAAGAUCCCAGGAACCCAGCAUUGCUGCAUCCCAGCACCUAACCUGGGGUCCCACAUUUUUAUCUGAUGAAUCUGCAGCUCUUAAUUAAUGCUUCUACCUGCCUGCCCUCUGCCCUCUGCAGACACUGUGCACAGGUGAUGUGUACGUGUAUAUUCUUUUUUGGUUCACAGAAAUGGCAGUUGCAUCAUACCCUGUUUAGCAUCAUGGUUUCCAGCUAGCUAACCAUCCAUUCACUCGAAGAUAUUUUUGGGUCUUCCUGUGUCAUUAGAGCAGAGCCUCGUUCUGAACUCUGGGUCCAGCAGGCCCCACUGCGGAGGUUGCUGCAGUUCACGGUGUGCUUGGACAGUGGCAGCACUCUCUUCUCUGAGACCUCGCUCUUCAACGUUUUGUAAGACUGUAUUUGCAUGUUUAUUUUGAUGUAAAUGCUGAAACAUCUGGUCUAGUUUAAAAAAUAAACACAAAACACAGCCAAAAGCACA